rnacentral:rRNA from 1 species
GAUGAACGCUGGCGGCGUGCUUAACACAUGCAAGUCGAACGGAAAGGCCCAAGCUUGCUUGGGUACUCGAGUGGCGAACGGGUGAGUAACACGUGGGUGAUCUGCCCUGCACUUCGGGAUAAGCCUGGGAAACUGGGUCUAAUACCGGAUAGGACCACAUUUUGGAUGGUGUGGUGGAAAGUUUUUCGGUGUGGGAUGAGCUCGCGGCCUAUCAGCUUGUUGGUGGGGUAAUGGCCUACCAAGGCGUCGACGGGUAGCCGGCCUGGGAGGGUGUACGGCCCCCUUGGGACUGAGGUACGGCCCCGCCUCCCACGGGGGGCCGCAGUGGGGAAUAUUGCACCAUGGGCGCCAGCCUGAUGCAGCGGCGCCGCGUGGGGGAUGACGGCCUUCGGGUUGUAAACUCCUUUCGCUAGGGACGAAGCGUUAUGUGACGGUACCUGGAGAAGAAGCACCGGCUAACUACGUG